CUGCCUGUGUUGUAGGAAGGUGCUGGUGUUGGGGGCUGGGCACUGGAGGGAGAAGGCGCUCAACCCACCCUUCUUAGGUGUGAGAAAUCUGCUUCGAGUGCUUGCUGAGACUUCGUGUCCUACCUGUCCUCUUGGGUUAUCCAGCGCCUUUCUUCCUUGACUGAUGCUGCAGGCACUUGACAUUUAUCUCACUCAUCUGCACACUGAGGAGUCGGGAAGAGACAGCUGGGGUGGCCAGAUCUCAGAAGAAGAGAUCAAGACCUGCAGAGAGAUGCUGCUUGAUUGGCCAAGGAGGAAAACUCAAGCAGCCUGGAGAGAGAUGGCGAAGACAGCUGGGGAAGAACCUGAGGUCCAGUUUCCAGGCAGAGGAUGUUCCCAUGAUGCCUCACGAGCUCCGUAGCUGCUAGAGUGGUCAGUCAGCUCACAAACGUCCUGCACACAGUCUGCUUUUGAUGUACCCGCCUGCCUGCCUUUUGGCAGGUUCGGAGCCCCUUUGGAGGGUGAGCCCUGUUGACAGCUUCCAGAGGUCAGAUCAAGGAGACAAAUAAAGCUCAGGUCAGCACUGCCA
rnacentral:lncRNA from 1 species